rnacentral:rRNA from 1 species
GCACCGGCUAACUACGUGCCAGCAGCCGCGGUAAUACGUAGGGUGCAAGCGUUGUCCGGAAUUACUGGGCGUAAAGAGCUCGUAGGUGGUUUGUCGCGUCGUUAGUGAAAGCCCGGGGCUUAACUCCGGGUCUGCUGGCGAUACGGGCAUAACUUGAGUGCUGUAGGGGAGACUGGAAUUCCUGGUGUAGCGGUGGAAUGCGCAGAUAUCAGGAGGAACACCGAUGGCGAAGGCAGGUCUCUGGGCAGUAACUGACGCUGAGGAGCGAAAGCAUGGGUAGCGAACAGGAUUAGAUACCCUGGUAGUCCAUGCCGUAAACGGUGGGCGCUAGGUGUGGGGGUUUUUCACGACUUCCGUGCCGUAGCUAACGCAUUAAGCGCCCCGCCUGGGGAGUACGGCCGCA